AGAUUUUAUGACGAAUAGACAGCCAUGUCAAAAUGCCCUUGUUUGGAAAGGAUGUGGACUAAUGCUAAUGGACUGUGGGAAGUGGGCAUCCAACAGGGCCUGUCUGCUCAGAUUCUUCUUGGUUUUCUCUAAGGACUCUUUCUAGAACCAAUCAUCAGCUAUAAGAAAGCCUAUAAACCUGAAGAUUGGAGGAGAACAAACCUUGUCCAUAGAAGCCAUUGCUUUUCUUUAUGUCCCCAGAAAGAUGUUAACCAAGAAGACAGAAAGUCUUCGCUGGUAUCAAAUCAAAAUGGAAAGGAAAAUGAGCACAAGGACAUCAAGUUUACUCUUGACUAUGACGAGAAGGUUCCCCUAGAACCUGUGACACUCACAGAGAAAACGAAAGUUGCCACAGGACUGCUCUCUGCCACUGGCAUCGAAAACCACUUCCCCUUUUCUCUACAGUUAAUGCCUUCCUCGAAGACUGUUCUCAGUCUCUGCAGCUGCUAGCCUCUGUCUAGCCUUCUCCAAGCCCUCUCCUCAACCUGCUGUCAGUGCAUAAACAUCCUUUAAGCUUCUCAAAGCACAUCCCAUCUGAACCUAAUGCUGCCAACCCUCCAGGUUUUGUACCUGUAAAGAUUCAGGCAUUAUGCUGGCCUGCCCUGUCACCUGGCAGAAUGCACUCAGGCAGUACUCUGGUCAGCCCAGGGUUCCAUGGCUGCUGCCACUACCUAGUCUGCUGCAAGUGCAAAGGACCCUUAAAAAAGCAAAAAGCAAACAACAACAACAACAACAACAACAAAAAAAAAACCCAACCCUGCCCGCCUCUGCUCCCCCCCCCCCUUGUUUCCCGAAGGGACAGCUAGGGCUUUUCCUGCCUCCCUCUUCUCUCUCUUCUUCUUUCCCCCUCUGUCUCCCCUCUUUCUAUUCUUUCCCUUCCUUCCCCUCUUCUCCCCUCCCCUCCUUUCCCCUUCCCUCUCCUUCCUUUUCUAAUAAAACUUCUUCUUACUUAAGCUCUGUCUGCCUGGCAUGUUUGUCCCUCGCCUGCCACAGAAUCCGACAAGGUCCCCCAUGUCCAUUGUUCCUAACAGUACCCCUCACAAGCACAAACACUAUGUACGUUUCGCUGUCCCUUCACAACUCUGCCUACUCCUGCUUCUUCACACAGCAGUUAGUUUAUAAGAUUAUGGAGGAAGAAGUUGCCACUGUCAAAGACAGCUGUACUGCCGCGCUGCUAUAAGACAGAGGAUGAGAAUUUAAUAAAAGAGCCUAGCUACCAUCUGAUUCGGACAAUUCCUCGCUAUUUUGUUUUCCAUCAGACUUUCUGGGAAGCCACAUACACACUCUAAAGCCUAUAGUAGGGUUGAUAGGUGAUCAUGAAAACAGUUUCCCUCAACAUCCAAAAAUGUGUUCACUAUAUCUCUAAACAUGGCAUCAUUAAUUCUUAGAUUUAGCACUCGCCUAACAUGUGUGAGGCUCUGGGUCCUGUCCCUAGCACCACAAGGAAAGAAACAGCAAGAAAAGUUAAUAUGAAUUAGAAAAUCAAAAUUAGAUGUGGAGGCAUUUAAUCCCCUAGAACUGAGACCUGUCUUUCUGCAAACCUCCUUCUGGGUCUUCUCUAAGCUAUUGGAGAUGUUGUCUCUUUCUAAAUCUUGCACUACUGAUUCUUAUUUCUGCUGUUUGGAAUGCUACUUGCUUGGUGGUAUCCAUCUUCCCUGCCUCAUCCCGCGCUCGCCUUUGGAUCUAAAAUAAUGGGAGGUCCCCAUCUCAGAUAAGCAGAAUCUUUUACUCAGCUAUGACAAGGCAGGAAGUUGCUCUGGUGACCUACAGCAGCCCCACCGGUGUAAUAUUAUCCCCACGAAAGAGAUGUGCACACACACGCAUGUUGGAUUUUAUUGCGGAUUUGUUGUUCUGCUGGUUUGGAUGUUGCUGAGCCAAGCAUGGAGCAAGGGAGCUUUAACCACGGUUGAAAGGAGCACAGCAGAGAGCUGAUUUAGGAGUCCGGUUUUCUAAAGACAAGAGAAGGAGUAGAUGACCUUUCCGGAUCCCUCCAGUCUGAAGGUUUUAUGAUUCUAUGCACGUCCUCUGUCUAGACUUGAAAUGUGU
rnacentral:lncRNA from 1 species